UGGGGCGGGACCCCCACAUUUGGGGGGUUCUGACCCCAAGAUUUGGGGGUUUACCCAUAGAUUUGGGGGGUUCUGACCCCAAAAUCCCAGCCCCAACAAAGCCCUGGAUCCCAUCCCCACAGAUCCCCCCCCAGCCCCAGAGAUCCCCCCCAGCCCCACAGCUCCCCCCAGCCCCACAGCUCCCCCCAGCCCCACAGAUCCCCCCCAACCCCACAGAUCCCCCCCAUCCCCACAGAUCCCAUCCCAGCCCCACAGAUCCCCCCAACCCCACAGAUCCCCCCCAGCCCCACAGAUCCCCCCCAGCCCCACAGCUCCCCCCAGCCCCACAGAUCCCAUCCCCACAGAUCCCAUCCCCUCCCCACAGGUGGAGCUCCGCAAGGCCCUGACCGAUUUUGUCCAGAGGGAAUUCGAGGCUCUGCGGGGCCACGCCCGGACCCUGCACCCCCCCCCCACAGCGGGGUCCCCCCGCCCCACAACUGGGGGGCUCUGCCCCAUAGCUGACGGUUCUGCCCCACAACUGGGGGGCUCUGCCCCACAGCAAAGCCCUCCUGCCCCAUAAGGGGGGAUUUUACACCGUAAUUUGGGGUCUUGCCCCAUAACUGGGGGUCCUCCCCCAUAGCAGGGGGUCCCUGGUGGAAUCUCUGCCCCAUAGAGGGGGUCCUGCCCCUCACGGCUGUGCACGGUGCCAAUAAAAGAAGGUGGAACCUCGGGGGUCUCUGGGGGUUUUGGGGGUCUCCUAGGAGAUUUUGGGGUCUCAGAAUUUGGGAGGUUCCAGGAUGGAAUUUGGGGUUUUAGGGGGGAAAUUUGGGGGCCCCAGGAGUCAAUUUUGGACCCCAAAACCAACCAAGACCCAACCCGAGGUGAUUUUAUUGAAGCGGAAAAAAGAGGAGGGGUCCCCAUUGCCCCCCAAAAAUCCCCCUGGGAAGAGGUGGGGGGGACAAAAAGGGGGUUCAGCCUCCCCAAAACGAGGCCUGGACCCCCCCAAAAUGAGAUUUGGACCCCAAAAGAAGCUGGGACGGUCCCAAAAAUGGCGCCAGAGCCCCCCCAAAAUGGAGCUGGGGGCGUGGCCUGGUCCGGGGGCGGGGCUUGGUCAGAGAGAGUCGUUUGUGGGCGUGGCCUGGUCCCGGGGGCGGGGCUUGUGCCCGAUGUUGGCGGGGCUUGCCGCUGCUGGGGGCGUGGCCCGACCUGGCCCCGCCCCUCACUCCUCCUUCUUGUCCCGGGGUCCAUCGUGGGCGGC
rnacentral:lncRNA from 1 species